rnacentral:rRNA from 1 species
GACGAACGCUGGCGGCGUGCUUAACACAUGCAAGUCGAGCGGAAAGGCCCUGCUUUUGUGGGGUGCUCGCGUGGCGAACGGGUGAGUAACACGUGAGUAACCUGCCUUUGACUUUGGGAUAACUUCAGGAAACUGGGGAUAAUACCGGAUAGGAGCUGCUGAAGCAUGGUGGGGGUUGGAAAGUUUCGGCGGUGGGGGAUGGAGUCGGGGGUUAUGAGUUGGUGGGUGGGGGAUCGGCCUACCAAGGCUGUGGUAGGUAGCCGGCCUGAGAGGGUGACCGGCCACAUGGGGCCUGAGGGAGGCCCCAGACUCCUACAGGGGGCAGCGGUGGGAAGUCUGGCACAGUGAGCCGGAGCCUGAGACAGCGGCGCUGCGAGCGGAAAGACGGCCUUCGGGUGGGAAACCGCUUUCACCUAUGACGUUGCGUUAUUGACGGUAAUGGGUGAAGAAGCACCGGCUAACUACGUG